AAAAAACAAAACACUGGGAACAGGGUUGUCACCUACUUAACAGGGCUCUGAGAGAGCCAGGCAGGCCCAAAGUGGCUUGAGAAGGUAAGGGAAAAAUCCUGGCCUGCGCUCAGGGUCACAGAGCGGGGCCCGGGGGAGUUCCUGCUGAGGGCAGGGCCUUGCCAGGCUUCAGUCUCCAUCCAGUGCCAAAGGUGGGAGCUCCCAGGCUGUCAGCAUCUCCAGAUGAGGGCAGAAGGGAGAGGUUUAAACCCAAGUCACAUGUCCAGCAAUGGAGUCCCACUGCCGCAAAGUCUGGGAAGUGAGGAGCGCCUCUGCCCGGCCACCGCCCUGUCUGGGAAGUGAAGAGCGCCUCUGCCCAGCUGCCACCCCAUCUGGGAAGUGAGGAGCGCCUCUGCCCGGCUGCUGUGCAACCCUCCAAGUGUGAAGUGACAGCCUUGUGUGUGAUCUUUCUGCCCUCCCCAAGUUUGCAUUUUCGACAUUAAAGUUUACUUUUUAAUUAAAAGUU